rnacentral:misc_RNA from 1 species
AGAGAGGGAGCACUAUUUUUUAAUGCUCCCGAUGUAUUUAAUAAUUAGCUCACAUUUAGAGCUAUCGACCUGCUUUCGAAAAAGGCAAGCUUACUCAACAAUGAACUAAAAUCUAAACCAUCAUCAGACAAUCGCACAACGUGUGAAAAAUGAAGCACACAGGGUCACAGGCCUGAACUGACCAAUCACUAACACGGUUCAAUAAUUCCUACACAGGAUGUCAAAUUGUACAUUCGCUUUUAAAAAUGCUGUUAAAGUAUUGUAUAUAUCAUUCAGAAUGUGUAGACAACAGCACACCUGCUGACAAUAAUCAAAUUCACAAAACUCCAUAUAUACUAAUAUUGGUGUGCGUAUCUUCUGGAAAUUCUUGUAAUGUGAAACCUCCUGGAUAAGCAUGUGUACAUUGAAAUCCUGAAAGAAUGAAAAGAAUUAGAAGCCACAGUAGAACCAAGCAGUUACUCAUCUGACAGCUACUGCUGCAUCAGCAUGAACACCAGAGUCGCUAGGAGGAUCCAUAAAUUUACAGCCGGCCCCUUUCUAUUGCUGUUGCUUGUGGGGUAUACUUUAGGAAGUGAACAUUCCUCCCCAUUGAAGAACACUUUAGUUGGAAAACCAUCUCCAGCAGCCACAUUAAGUCCGGGCGUAGAUUUCUUAGUAAAUGAGAUUACAGACUGCUGUUUUCCAGGUACCCUAGGAUUCUUUUGUGGGUCAGCUCCAUCAGUUUCAGCAACAAGAUAGUUCAACCCUGGAAGCCCUUGCAUGAUUAUGGUAUUGUUGACGCCAUUCACAAUGCUUCCAUUGAAUGAAUACAUUGCUUCAAAACCAGUAGCCGCUUUGUCCAAUUGUACUGCAGCAAACCAAUCAGGAAAUGCAAUUUCAUCCCAGUUGAAGAUUGUGAUCCUUGCACUCCACCCACGAGUAUAAUCUGUAUAAACAUGCCAGUUCAUGCUGACCCCACAGUUAUCUCCACAGGGCAUUGGGUUUGGCACUGUUCUAUGUUUAAGUUCAGCCCAAGCUCUAGCCAUAGCAGUCCGAUUAUCAAAAGGUAUAAGCAGUGCCUCUGGUGGAAGAAGAACAGCAGGAGCAGUCGUAUUACAAGUUCUUGCCGUGCUAGCAGGGCAUCCACAUGCACAGGUAUUGCAUGGAACAACAGAAUCAUUGUAGUAAGCAGAAAAUGAUACACAGCAUCUGGGGCUUACUCCCUUGGGAUGAGUAAUAUUGCAUACUACCUGCCAGCUAGCAACUGCAGUUGAAUUUGAUGGUAAGCCACUAGGGUCUGGGAAUUGGCUAGGGCUCACUCUUACUGGGGGACCACAUUGGUAAUCAGGGUUAAGUGUGCCAUUGAUCUUCCAAUUCUGCGGUGGUGUGAGGUCAGACCGAUUAAGAACUGGAGGCAUUUUAAAAACCUGCAUCUGGAAAACUGAAAUUGACUUGCUUGGGUCCAUGGAUGGUGGCAAGAUUGUACCAUUUCGACAACAGAAGGGUUUCAACCCAAGGUUUGUGUCGUUGUACUUUGUCGGAGGCAGGUCAAUUAUUGUUGGCCUUCUUUCACAGUUUAAUACAUUGGCAAAGUCUAGUUCCUUAUAGAAUGUACCUUGUGGGCCAAAUAUGCAGUCAGAUGAAUCAACAACAUAGGGAUAAGCCCCUUUCAUGGUGUAGAUAAAUUCAUCCGUCAUCCAGUCCCAGCUCAAUUUCCAGUUAUCAAGACGACCAAGGGGAUUGUGAUUUUCAAUGGUAACCUGUGCCCAAUAAUUGGAAUCAUAUGUUCUGAUUACAUCAUACAUAAUUGUAAGAUCCCCAUUCUGGCGAGGCAGGAACUCCUCCUCCACAGUGAUGUUUGAUUUAAAGUUCUGAUCUUUGGUGCAACAAACAUACAUCAUACUACCUUCCGUGGUAGUCUUAGGGCAAACAAACCCAUCAUUAGCAAGCGUGACAUUAGAAGGCCAGGGCACAUCCUUCAAAGGGACACCGAACUGAGUCCCGAGCAGCUUAACCUGAACCGACGUCUGAGUGGAAUCCCCAGCAGUCUCAAUUGGCGUUUUGAGAUCAGUCAUAGGGUACCCAGCAAAAACAGUACCAUUACCAACAUUGGCAGGCAAGCUAGUUCCAUCAGCAAGAAUAGCAUUAGAUGCAGAGACCAAAAACUCAUCAUUUUUAAAACCCACAAAGACCUUCCAAGAUUUGAGCUCAUCAAGUCCAUUAUUUUGUAUACUAAGCGUAGACUCGAAUCUGUAGGGCUGGUGGGCGGGAUCGGUAGGCUUAAGCUGGGUUCCUCCUUCAUAUUGGUAGGACAAGAAAAUCCCAUUGCAGUCACUGGCCGCAGGCGCCGGUGCAACGUUGUUAGUCUGGGAGAUCGCAAAGGGUAGUAUAGUAACAAGAAUCAAAAAGAACAGAUCGAAGUUGAAAGCCAUGACUUGUGGGGUGGAGGUUGCUAAAGAGAACUGGAUUUGAAAUGGUUUUUGUCACCUUUUGAAGUGAGAAAAACGAUGACAAAAUGGGAAACGCGUAAGGGAUUCCUUUUACAGCUUCCACUAAGCUGUCUUUGCUGCGAGCAGUCACGUUAUUCU